rnacentral:rRNA from 1 species
UAAUCCAGGAUGGGAUCAUGAGUUCACAUGUCCGCAUGAUUAAAGGUAUUUUCCGGUAGACGAUGGGGAUGCGUUCCAUUAGAUAGUAGGCGGGGUAACGGCCCACCUAGUCAACGAUGGAUAGGGGUUCUGAGAGGAAGGUCCCCCACAUUGGAACUGAGACACGGUCCAGACUCCUACGGGAGGCAGCAGUGAGGAAUAUUGGUCAAUGGGCGAUGGCCUGAACCAGCCAAGUAGCGUGAAGGAUGACUGCCCUAUGGGUUGUAAACUUCUUUUAUAAAGGAAUAAAGUCGGGUAUGCAUACCCGUUUGCAUGUACUUUAUGAAUAAGGAUCGGCUAACUCCGUGCCAGCAGCCGCGGUAAUACGGAGGAUCCGAGCGUUAUCCGGAUUUAUUGGGUUUAAAGGGAGCGUAGAUGGAUGUUUAAGUCAGUUGUGAAAGUUUGCGGCUCAACCGUAAAAUUGCAGUUGAUACUGGAUGUCUUGAGUGCAGUUGAGGCAGGCGGAAUUCGUGGUGUAGCGGUGAAAUGCUUAGAUAUCACGAAGAACUCCGAUUGCGAAGGCAGCCUGCUAA